UCACGAGGAUCCUACUGUCUCCCCUCUCUAAUCAGUGAAACUGAUCCCUCCGUGAAGAAGCGGAGAUAAACUUAUAAGACGAGAAGACCCCAUGGAGCUUUAAACCCAAUAGCACCCGAUUAUUGUAUAACCUUAUAUAUGUCCGGCCUUUGUCUACUUGGUUUUAGGUUGGGGUGACCACGGAGCAUAAAAAAGCCUCCAUGAAGAAAGGAGU
rnacentral:rRNA from 1 species